rnacentral:rRNA from 1 species
UACGUAGGUGGCAAGCGUUGUCCGGAAUUAUUGGGCAUAAAGCGCGCGCAGGCGGUUCCUUAAGUCUGAUGUGAAAGCCCACGGCUCAACCGUGGAGGGUCAUUGGAAACUGGGGAACUUGAGUGCAGAAGAGGAGAGCGGAAUUCCACGUGUAGCGGUGAAAUGCGUAGAGAUGUGGAGGAACACCAGUGGCGAAGGCGGCUCUCUGGUCUGUAACUGACGCUGAGGCGCGAAAGCGUGGGGAGCAAACAGG